CACAUAGGGGGCGAGCGUUGUCCGGAUUCAUUGGGCGUAAAGCGCGCGCAGGCGGCUUGGAAAGUCGGGUGUGAAAACUCGGGGCUCAACCCCGGGCGUGCAUCCGAUACUGCCAGGCUUGAGGCAGGUAGGGGAGAUCGGAAUUCCUGGUGUAGCGGUGAAAUGCGCAGAUAUCAGGAGGAACACCGGUGGCGAAGGCGGAUCUCUGGGCCUGUCCUGACGCUGAGGCGCGAAAGCUAGGGGAGCGAACAGG
rnacentral:rRNA from 1 species